rnacentral:rRNA from 1 species
UACGUAGGGACCAAGCGUUGUUCGGAUUUACUGGGCGUAAAGGGCGCGUAGGCGGCGCGGUAAGUCACUUGUGAAAUCUCUGAGCUUAACUCAGAACGGUCAAGUGAUACUGCCGUGCUAGAGUGCGGAAGGGGCAAUCGGAAUUCUCGGUGUAGCGGUGAAAUGCGUAGAUAUCGAGAGGAACACCUGAGGUGAAGACGGGUUGCUGGGCCGACACUGACGCUGAUGCGCGAAAGCCAGGGGAGCAAACGGG